rnacentral:rRNA from 1 species
UACGUAGGGUGCAAGCGUUGUCCGGAAUUAUUGGGCGUAAAGAGCUCGUAGGCGGUUUGUCGCGUCUGCUGUGAAAUCUGGGGGCUCAACCCCCAGCCUGCAGUGGGUACGGGCAGACUAGAGUGCGGUAGGGGAGAUUGGAAUUCCUGGUGUAGCGGUGGAAUGCGCAGAUAUCAGGAGGAACACCGAUGGCGAAGGCAGAUCUCUGGGCCGUAACUGACGCUGAGGAGCGAAAGCGUGGGGAGCGAAUGGG